UUCGGGGGCAGAGUGACAGGUGGUGCAUGGUUGUCGUCAGCUCGUGUCGUGAGAUGUUGGGUUAAGUCCCGCAACGAGCGCAACCCUUGAUCUUAGUUGCCAUCAUUAAGUUGGGCACUCUAAGGUGACUGCCGGUGACAAACCGGAGGAAGGUGGGGAUGACGUCAAAUCAUCAUGCCCCUUAUGACCUGGGCUACACACGUGCUACAAUGGACGGUACAAAGAGUCGCAAGACCGCGAGGUGGAGCUAAUCUCAUAAAACCGUUCUCAGUUCGGAUUGUAGGCUGCAACUCGCCUACAUGAAGCUGGAAUCGCUAGUAAUCGCGGAUCAGCAUGCCGCGGUGAAUACGUUCCCGGGUCUUGUACACACCG
rnacentral:rRNA from 1 species